AUGCUGUAGUGGUGAAGCUCCCUGCAGUGAAGUUGUCCUACUGUAAUUCCAGUGCCUAGCAGACAUAUUGAGCUGAAUCGUAAUGAAGUUUGUCAGUGAGGCUGAAAGUGAUCAAACAGAAGGCUCAUUUCCAGCCGUGUGCAUCUGGAAAGGCAGGUGCACUGCACCUGCCCUCAGUCAGCCUCUGUCAAUCUAUCGACCCCUGCUGUGAAGAGCAGGGCUGAGGAUCUCUCAUGUGCUGCACUUCUCUUUUCAGCCAUUCUGAAGUGAUUAACUGACACAGCGGUGCUUCAAGUCACCCCAUUUUGGGAGGGUUAGGGUAUCGGGUUAAUGGAGGGUUUAUUAUUAGGAGUUCUAAUGUGUUCUUAAACAGAUUGACUAUUUAAUGUUGGGUUCGUGUAGCACCAGGAAUCGAUUUGGUGUGUUAAACCUGUGCUUGCCGAGUGUGCGCUGGUACAAAGGCAUGGCAGAAACAGAAUUAGUGUGCAUAUAUCACCCCUGUACUGUACUAGAUCUGUACCGUUCAGUAUUACGGUCAUAUUUUAGCUCUAUCCUGGGGUGUGUGUCAUUCUAUGCAUGUUUUCUUUGACUAAUCACUCACAGCAGGAGAGCAGCAGUGUCUUUUACAUGUGUAUACACACACAUUUGACCUUUUGUCUGUAAGACAAGCCUUAAAAGUAAUGCUUUUUAAAUGAUUACGGCGCCACUAAAAGAGCAGAGGGAUGCACUUCCAAAGAAACUCGGACACUGCUGGUCUCUUCUGUGCUGCAAUAUACUGUACCGGUGUUAAUACACUACAUGGUUAGCAGCUCUUUCACCAAGCCAUAUUCACUUUUUGGUCAGAGUUACUGUGGAGAUUUAUGAGCUACAUAGUGCUAAUGUUGCUAUGAGCUUUUUUUAGUGUUCCUUUUGAGAUUUAUAAUAUAGUAACUUUGCCUUUUAUGUCUCUUGACACUUCUGUACCUUGUCAGUAUGCAAGUGCAGUUUUACUCAAGGGCCGCCCUGUUGUGAACAAACUCUGAAAGGACGUUGCUGAGAUGUAGAUCCGCGCUAAACCGAGAAGCAUAGAGAAUCUGACUACUCGCUAAUAGGUGACAGAGCCUCAGAGGUAAGCAGUCACUUCACGAGUGCUGAAACACAAUCACCAAUGUGCCGCGCACACACACACAUGCUCAUUUAGCUCGUGGUGUUGCCAUUAGUCGGGUUCUACACAGCAGCUGUCCUUAAAGGGUACAGGGCUACGAAACACUUAUAUAAUGUGUAGUUCGAAGUAGCGGCCAUUUUUAGCACAUACUAUCCGCAUGUGUUAAGAUGUCUUAUCAAUUUCUAUUUAUGCUAACAGAAAUGCCUUUCACCAAACUGGAACAACCAAGAAAGAAAUUGCUAGAGUUCGAUCUAUUUUUCAUAUUGGAAAAACGUGAUUUAUCUUCGCAAAUUCUAUUUUUCUAAUGCUGUGAAAUCAAUUAAAUUGGAGCCAGAUGAUAGUAUUCCUCAGGCGAAGCAGAUUCUCUCCUGUGACAGAUAUUUGGCUGCCGCUGCAGAGUCUUGGCAGAGAGCAGGGGCAUCCCCGGGCAGAAAGCGCCAGUGUUGGUGAAAGGAUAGAAGAAUUGUUUGUCUAUGUUAGUGUAAAGGGCCAGUAAGGGUCUGCUGAGUAACAGGAAGGCACUGGAGGGCCACCGUAUAAAACUCAAGACAAAGAAAAAUUCUUGUCUUAGACUUUGGCUGAUGGAUUUAGAAGCUUUUUGUCAUAGAUGAACACUAAGAAUCUGGCUUUUGCUCCUCACACAGACGACUCUAGUGAGGCCCUCCAGAGGCACUUCCUGGUAUUGUGGGCUUGAACCCCCUCUGGCCCGCACAGCUGUGCUCAUCGAGCUGAAGUUAGAGGAAUAAAACAGAGUUUGGUGGAAAGGUUUUUGACAUUAAUGUCAAGGAUAAUCUUAAAUUAGUGGCUUUAAUGCUAUUCAGAUAGGAGGGAUAGAUUUAUGUCUUUUUCGUUUUGAUUUGUUUAACACAAACCGGCCUGGGUUUUCCAAAAGGUUAAAGAGAAGCACUUUUUAUUAGAUAAAUAUUCAGACUUUCAAUGGUCACUGAAGGCUUGUUCCUGAGUCCUGACCAAAACUUUUAUCUUGUCCCUAAAUCUGAUAAUUUGUUUUUAAUAACCAACCAGAAGCUGGUCAUUCUGACAGCACAUGUCUCAUGUUCUCAGGUAUCUAGUAGAGUAGGUAACACCAGCAUAGAAGUUUUAUAUUAAACGUCUUUCACAACCGGCCUACAUUUGGUGCGUUAUUUUGUGGAUGAUGUGCUGUGCUUCGAGGGCCACAGUAGAAAUAGGACAAGCUAAAGGGCUAAAUAAUUUCCAGUUGCUGCUGGCUGGCUGGGGACAAGCCUGAAAAUUGAAAUAGCUAAAAAAGAGGUAUUAUUAGCUAAACGUUAUUUGCACAAAGCUAAACAUGCACCCAUAAGGUCUUGUGUUGGCGUUAUGGGGAAACAUUGGACCUUUUUGACUCGGAGGGAAAAUGUGGAAUUCAAAUAGAUUUACCCGUCUUUACCUCAGUUUCAGAAUAUCCAGUGCUCGGAGUUCAUGAUAUCUUUGAUAUCUUCUUAAAUGAACAAUAUUUAAGAUGGUUCUACUUGAAAGGUGCCAAAAGUUCUUAAAUAACUUUUUUUUGUUUAAAGGGGUUAAACAAAAGUUUGUGAAAAAUCAAAAUUUAAGUGUUGUUUGCACAAAACUACUGUAACUCAUGUUUUCUCCUGUGACUGAUGCUUUUUUCCCCCUAAUAUAUAUGGUGUGUUUAUGACAAAAUAACAUAUUAAAAAUAUAAGCUACUUCCGUUCCGUUGAUGGGUUAUUUGUAUUGUCUGUCAUUCUUAUUGGUCUAUUCAGUGAAACAUGCUGGCAACAAACAUCUUCAGACAAAAGCAGCCUGGAAGAGAAGUGUGUUUGUGUGUGUAAGGUUAUCAACUCAGCAGUGGAUUUGUCACAUGGUGAUAACAUCUUUAAGGAUGCCAAACCCAGCAUAAACGCUAAUCUCUGGGGCCUGCAACAACAGAAGCUAUUUAUAACCUUGGUCGCUGCCCACCCCACCUUCCAAAAUUCUGGUAUUCAACCCACUGUGACUCUAACGCACCCCAAGGAUCUACACACACGUCCCAGCCCAACCUUAGCCAUAUAUACAGCCUGCGUUCCACUCUAAGUGCCAGCGCCCCAGCAAGCAUCAAGCAGCCACCACUGACCCCCCACGAAAACAGCAUUCCACUCAUGAUCGGAACGCUUCUCAGCUAAACUGUGCCUGGCCU